GGGGGAUAACGUUCGGAAACGGACGCUAAUACCGCAUACGUCCUACGGGAGAAAGCAGGGGACCUUCGGGCCUUGCGCUAUCAGAUGAGCCUAGGUCGGAUUAGCUAGUUGGUGAGGUAAUGGCUCACCAAGGCUACGAUCCGUAACUGGUCUGAGAGGAUGAUCAGUCACACUGGAACUGAGACACGGUCCAGACUCCUACGGGAGGCAGCAGUGGGGAAUAUUGGACAAUGGGCGAAAGCCUGAUCCAGCCAUGCCGCGUGUGUGAAGAAGGUCUUCGGAUUGUAAAGCACUUUAAGUUGGGAGGAAGGGCAUUAACCUAAUACGUUAGUGUUUUGACGUUACCGACAGAAUAAGCACCGGCUAACUCUGUGCCAGCAGCCGCGGUAAUACAGAGGGUGCAAGCGUUAAUCGGAAUUACUGGGCGUAAAGCGCGCGUAGGUGGUUUGUUAAGUUGAAUGUGAAAUCCCCGGGCUCAACCUGGGAACUGCAUCCAAAACUGGCAAGCUAGAGUAUGGUAGAGGGUAGUGGAAUUUCCUGUGUAGCGGUGAAAUGCGUAGAUAUAGGAAGGAACACCAGUGGCGAAGGCGACUACCUGGACUGAUACUGACACUGAGGUGCGAAAGCGU
rnacentral:rRNA from 1 species